rnacentral:pre_miRNA from 1 species
UGCCAUGCCUUUCCACAGCUCUCUUGAACAUCUCUCGUGCCUCUCUCUCUCUCUCUACUGGAGAGAUAUACAUCUUCUCUGUGAGCUUAUAGAGAGAGGAGUGCGAGAAGAGGGUCAAGAAAGCUCUGUGAAGAAAUGGCA